GACAGAGGAUGCAAACGUUGUUCGGAAUCACUGGGCAUAAAGCGCACGUAGGCGGUCUGUUAAGUCAGGUGUGAAAUCCCCCGGCUCAACCGGGGAAUGGCAUUUGAUACUGGCAGGCUAGAGAACGGUAGGGGUGAGUGGAACUCCAGGUGGAGCGGUGAAAUGCGUAGAUAUCUGGAGGAACACCGGUGGCGAAAGCGGCUCACUGGACCGUCACUGACGCUGAGGUGCGAAAGCUAGGGUAGCAAACGGG
rnacentral:rRNA from 1 species